rnacentral:misc_RNA from 1 species
UCGAGUUACCAAACUCCAAACCAUUGUGAACAUACCAUCGUUGCUUCGGCGGACCCGCCCCGGGCGCGCGCUCGCCGCGCGACCCGGACCCAGGCGGCCGCCGGGGGACCCAAACUCCUGUAUUUUCAGAGUAUCUUCUGAGUGGCAUAAGCAAAUAAAUCA